rnacentral:lncRNA from 1 species
GGUUGCCAUGGCAGGAGUUUGUCUUUGAUCUCUUCUGUAGGAAAACUCAUGCCAUGUACUAUUAAAAAUAGAUAAAUAAAAGAUACCACUUGUGCUGUGAAACUCUACCUCACUGGGUAGGCUAUUGUGAGAAUGAUUUUUGUCUUGUAUCUUACCGUUCAUUUGAGUAUGCCUUAAUUUUGAUUUAAUUAAUUUUGAAGUAGACCUGUUAUUUACUAAGCAACUGUAGUGCAAAUGUUGUUUGACUAAGGCUGUCCACACACCGGCUCAACCAGGUGUGGCUCUGCUGGGCUCUGCUUUCAGUGCAGCUGUUUCUGCUGGGUGUUGUAGCAGGAUUUCAUUAGUAUAAUUAAAGCUCUAGUUUAUUUUGUUUACAGUUUACCGCUAGUGGAACUUCAAGCACUGGCAGACAGAGAGGAGAAUAGACCUGGAUCUUUGCUGUUUUCUUAAAAAAACCUCAGAGCUGCUAAUUUUAAUUGGGUGCCUGGUAUGAAGGCAAUGCAGUUUGUCCUGUGGCUCCUGCACAUUCUGUUUGCCCAGGACAGCCCCUGGAGAUUCUGUGUGCCCAGAGAAGCUCCUGCAGAUUCUUUGUGCCCAGGGCAGCCCCUGCACAUUCUGUGUGCCCAGAGCAGCUCCUGCAGAUUCUGUGUGCCCAGGGCAGCUCCUGCAGAUUCUGCAUGCCCAGUGCAGCUCCUGCACACUGACUCUGUGUGCUCAGAUCAGCUCCUGCUGCUGCUCCAUCCGGGAGCACCCGGGCAGGGCAGGGCAGUGCAGGGGCUGAGCUGUAGGAGCAGGAGCAGGAGCAGGAGCAGGAGCAGGAGCAGGAGCAGAGGGAUUUGGGGUAGCUCCAGGGGGAAGGUGCUCCCCGAGUGUUGGGGCUGCAGGAGGCAGGGAAGGGAUGGCCGGAGGUGUGCUCCUCAUUUUUGGAUGUGUUCUUUGCAAUUUUAGUAAAAUUCCUGCUUUUUCUGUUGGUAGCUGCUGAAACGAGCUGAGUUUCCAUGCCAGGACUACUACAAGAUGUGUAUGUGCUGAUUUUUCUGGGCAGGUUUUGUUCAGUCUGUUUCUUUGUUCUGACACUACACACACACAAUUUGUGUGCGUCUUCCAGGUACAAGAAUUCUUUAGACAUUUCCUCUCCAUUUAGUAUUGAUUCCACAAACCUCAUCAGUAGAAAGAAAGAAAAAAAUAACAAUCGUCACAGAGUGUAUCAUAUGUCAGUCCAUCUAAAAAAAAAAAAGAAAAAAAAAGAGUUUUAUAUUACUCUGAAAUUUGUGCACAAUAAAUGUUCUUUAAACUAAGAUCCUUGAAUUAAUUGUAUUCUGGAUUUUUUUCCUCUUUGUUCUGUAAUUAUUUAUGAUUCUUAUCUGUGUUCAGACUUGAGCUUAGUUUGUUAAUAUGUAUAAUUUAGCAUUUAUUGCAUUCAUAUGUAAAUAGGAGCAAGUAUUGUAAACUAUUUCGUUGCUGGGGUUGUGGGUGUUAUACAUACACACAUUUAGGAUUGCAGUUUUUUGGUAUAAUAUUUUGUAUUGUAAAAUAACAGCUAAUUUAAAGCCAGAACGAGAAAAUUCUUGGGAGGUCUGUGCAUUUUAAAUACAAAUGUGAAGUACAUGUAUAUAAAUAAAAGUAAAUAAUGCAAAUCUUUCCUCUGAAAUAAAAAGUAGAUGAUCUGGUUAAAAUUUUCCUCUUAUUUAUUUUCUUAAAAUGGGGGGAAAAAUAAUUCAAGGUGGUUUUGAAGGUUCC